CCAAUAGCGUAUAUUAAAGUUGUUGCAGUUAAAAAGCUCGUAGUUGAAUUUCGGGGUCAGCAAGUUGGUCGUGCCACUGGUAUGUACUGGCUUUGCUGAUUCCUCCUUCUUGUAGAACCGUAAUGCCAUUUAGUUGGUGUUGCGGGGAAACAGGACUGUUACUUUGAAAAAAUUAGAGUGUUUAAAGCAGGCUAACGCCUGAAUACAUUAGCAUGGAAUAAUGAAAUAGGACGAGCGAUCCUAUUUUGUUGGUUUCUAGGAUUGACGUAAUGAUUAAUAGGGAUAGUUGGGGGCAUUAGUAUUCAAUUGUCAGAGGUGAAAUUCUUGGAUUUAUUGAAGACUGACUACUGCGAAAGCAUUUGCCAAGGAUGUUUUCAUUAAUCAAGAACGAAAGUUAGGGGAUCGAAGACGAUCAGAUACCGUCGUAGUCUUAACCAUAAACUAUGCCGACUAGGGAUCGGAUGAUGUUAAUUCUUUAAUGACUCAUUCGGCGCCUUACG
rnacentral:rRNA from 1 species